rnacentral:rRNA from 1 species
GACGAACGCUGGCGGCGUGCUUAACACAUGCAAGUCGAACGGAAAGGCCCUGCUUUUGUGGGGUGCUCGAGUGGCGAACGGGUGAGUAAAACGUGAGUAACCUGCACUUGACUUUGGGAUAAAUUCAGGAAACUGGGGCUAAUACCGGAUAGGAGCUACUGAUGCAUGGUGGGGGAUGGAAAGUUUCGGCGGUUGGGGAUGGUCUCGCGGCUUAUCAGCUGGUUGGUGGGGUAGUGGAUGACCAAGGCUUUGACGGGUAGCCGGCCUUGGAGGGUGGCCGGCCACCUUGCGCCUGCGAUACGGCGCAGACUCCUACGGUAGGCAGCAGUCGGGAAUAUUGCACAAUGGCCGGAAGCCUGAUGCGGCAACCCCCCGUGCGGGAUGACGGCCUUCGGGUUGUAAACCGCUUUCUCCUGUGACGAAGCGUGCGUGACGGUAAUUGGUAAAGAAGCCCCGGCUAACUACGUG